rnacentral:rRNA from 1 species
GAGCGGUAGCACAGGGGAGCUUGCUCCCUGGGUGACGAGCGGCGGACGGGCGAGUAAUGUCUGGGAAACUGCCUGAUGGAGGGGGAUAACUACUGGAAACGGUAGCUAAUACCGCAUAACGUCGCAAGACCAAAGAGGGGGACCUUCGGGCCUCUUGCCAUCAGAUGUGCCCAGAUGGGAUUAGCUAGUAGGUGGGGUAAUGGCUCACCUAGGCGACGAUCCCUAGCUGGUCUGAGAGGAUGACCAGCCACACUGGAACUGAGACACGGUCCAGACUCCUACGGGAGGCAGCAGUGGGGGAUAUUGCACAAUGGGCGCAAGCCUGAUGCAGCCAUGCCGCGUGUGUGAAGAAGGCCUUCGGGUUGUAAAGCACUUUCAGCGAGGAGGAAGGUGGUGAGCUUAAUACGCUCAUCAAUUGACGUUACUCGCAGAAGAAGCACCGGCUAACUCCGUGCCAGCAGCCGCGGUAAUACGGAGGGUGCAAGCGUUAAUCGGAAUUACUGGGCGUAAAGCGCACGCAGGCGGUUUGUUAAGUCAGAUGUGAAAUCCCCGGGCUCAACCUGGGAACUGCAUUUGAAACUGGCAAGCUAGAGUCUCGUAGAGGGGGGUAGAAUUCCAGGUGUAGCGGUGAAAUGCGUAUAGAUCUGGAGGAAUACCGGUGGCGAAGGCGGCCCCCUGGACG